GAUGGAAUCUGUUUCUCUGCUGGCUUUUAUCCUUCCUUUUCAAAUAUUUGAGGAAAGUUGUGUACUUUUGAUACUUUUGAUGUGACAUCAUCAGGCAUAUGCGCCUUUUUUCAUGACGAAAUCUCAGUUCUUCAAUUUGUCAAAAUUCGAUUAUGACGUCGAAUUUUCUUGCUUUCCUCUGAAUUUCCUAUUGUGACGGCACGAAAAAAGGCGAUCAUGCCUGAUGACGUCACAUAGAAAGAACACAUCUUUUUGCAGAUCAUUUGAAAAGAAAUAUUGAAUUUGUCUGCAUAUUGUUUAAAAAUCUGUAGAGAAACAGAUUCCACCACCAAAUGUCGUGUAAUACGAUAUUUAUCCACUCUCGACAGUUAAAUUUUGAAUAUUUAAAACGCUUGGCGAGUCUCGCGUUUUAAAUUUAAAAAUUUAAAUGUCUCGAGUAGAUAAAUAUCGUAUCACAUUAGAUGCAGUGGUAGAAUC
rnacentral:lncRNA from 1 species